CCUGCAGGUACAGGAGGAAGAGAAUUUUUUAGGGCUGCCAUGGAAGUGCUCUGGCUGUCAUACUGUGCCUUGAGCUGAGAGGCUGUUGAAGACUUGGGGAGUUGGAGUAGCCUUCUGUCACAAUAAUGCAGACGAUUUGUAAAUACCCAUGAGAACUGCUCUCUGAUCUCAGGAGAAUCCAAAGGUGACCUUUCAAGAGCGCUGGUUUCAGGCGGAUUCUCAGUUCUGCUCUCUCACCUUCUGCGGCCCAUUGACUCUGAGCCCCUCGGAAAGCCCGCCCGCAGCUCCUCUCCCAGCCCCAGCCUCGGCCCCAGCCACCCCACUGAUUCCACUUGUGGUUUCCCCCAUGGAUCUCCCUCGCUCCCCUGCGGGCCACCUAUGCAUUUA